GUGAAUCAUCAAAUUUUUGAACGCAAAUUGCACUCUUUGGUAUUCCGGGGAGUAUGCCUGUUUGAGGGUCAGUUUAAAUAAAAAGCGGUGUGGGGGCUGCCUUGCGUGGUGACGCACCGGAUGUGGGUCGGCUUGACUUUGGUUAAGAGACGGAAAAUUGGGUAUGAUGUGUAGCGAACGGAGUUAAAGGAUCUUACGGACGUUUGCGAUAUCGAAUACUAGGUGU
rnacentral:misc_RNA from 1 species